rnacentral:tRNA from 1 species
GCUAAAUGUAAUGCAAUCCAGUUUUAUUCAUGCUUGCGCACUCGUAAUGCGUAGGUCAGCGGUUCGAAUCCGCUCGUUGGCUCCA